CUUAUCAUUUCUAUCAUCAUACAAAAGUUCAUACUAAUCCAAAAUAUUUGAGACUUGCUGUUUUCUUAGUCUUAAAGGAGAUACAAUGAACAGAGCUCAUUAGGACAUGAUAUGUCUGCCAGCCAUGUGGCCAUCCACAUCCUGAUGAGGUCACCUGCCAAGAUGGAGGAGAGCCAUGUGGCUGCUAAUGAAAACAUGUUUUCUAGACAAUAGUUAGGUUAUAAGCACAUAUAUGCACAGGUACAUACAUGCAGUGUUAAAUCCAGCUUAUAGAUAUGUACAUAUACACAUACAGAGUCAAAAAUCCAAGUCCCCCUCUCUCACACACACAUACAUACACAUUUUAAAUAGGAGCUGAAACACACACACACAAACAUAUAUAUAUGCCCAUGUAUAGAAUUUUAAUUAUAAGUCUUUUGUUAUAAGUUUAAAGCCAAAUUUUGUUACAAAUUAUACAGAUUUUAAACCAUACCCAAUGAGCAAUUUACAAAUCCUGAGAUCAGAAUUUACAGUAUAAUCUUAAGAUAUUGUUAUUUGUGAGAGCAGAGUGCAGAGAAAUCGUAGAGAUAUAAGGUCUUUAGGAGCUGGGAAGUAGAGCUUUAGAGGGAAGGGACUUUGGAAGUGUAGCAAGUUUAGGUAUUAGAUAUUUGGGGAUCAUUUGUUUAUGGCAAAUAGAAGUUGUUAACUAUUUGUGGUAGUUAAUUUUGGAAAUCAAAUUUGCCAGUUUUGGCCACUGAGACCAGAGUGUUGUAAUCAAAUCUGAGUCCAUGGAGGAAGAGAGAGAGGGUCACAAAGUGGAACACUGUGCAGGUGUGUUCCUCUUAGUUCCUAGAGAAAGUUGAGAGGGAAAACGAGCUGUAAGAUUGCAGGCAAAAACAGAGACAGCACAGCGGGUCUGCAGGCUGGCUGCAAGGUGAAAGAACACCAGGAGGAGCGGAAGAGCGGGGAGAUGCGCACAUGGUCAGCAGGCCACAAGAGCCAGAGCCAUGUUGGAGCGUCUUCAAGCUCAUGGUUAGCCAACAGUGAAACAGAGCUCUAACAAACAGCUCCCAGUUUCAGUGGCUGACUAGGACACAGGCUUGCUUCUUCUUCUCUUAAAUAGCCAGUUGAUCAACCCACACCAAGAUGAUCUUGGUGCCAUGCCAAGAUGUGCAUCAAAUGAAGUUCACUGAAGCAUUGCUAUGAUGGUAUAAUUUUUACAACACCCUAAAUGUCAAAAACUCGGAGCUAGUGAAGCAAAUUACGGCCCACGAGAGAACAUGGUAAUAAAUACUUUACAACAAAGAGGAGUGAUAUAUUGAAGAUCUUUAGUAGCAGUUGGGGAAUUUUUUUUCCAAUAAAAAUGAGGGAGAAAGGCAGACGAUGUGAUCACAUUUUUUGUUUAAAGCAACUGACACACCCAUAGAAAGAAGUAGUGGUGAGAGCCACAGUCGUGGCAGGGAAAAGGCACGAGAUGAGUGAUGGAAAGACCACAGAAGGGGUGCAAGGGGUGGCGGAGGAACGCUGAGACAUGCUGUUUCACACAGCACAGAAAAGGGAAGCGUGUUUAAAAAGCCUUUGGAGCAGUGGUAGGAAUAAGAAAGGGCCAGCUUCGGCUAGACCCUGUUGAGCAAGAGGUCUGCUGGGUGAAAUCACGGUGUGGGCAUCUCGCCAGCCCAGCCCUUCUUCCUUUGUUUUCCCCAACAAUGAGGUCUCAGGUUACAGCCUGGCAAGCAUGGUUGAAGAUGGAUGACAGAGGAGCGGCACUCACCACCCGGAUGGAUGUCCAAGAGUUGGCUCAACUUGACUGGAUCUUAGGUGUGGGUCAUGAGACGGUGCCAUAAAACCUCUCAGAGAACUUGGACUUGACGUCCCCCCCCCCCCAGUUUGAAAACCCUGCCAGACCUUGGUUGCUCAGGAACAUGAUGUGCCGAGGGAGGGUGUUGGCCUCCAGACAAACAGGACAUUUUCUAAAUGAUCAGGGCCUGUUCCAGGAAAAGGCCUGGAGAGGGGAGGUGCGGUAGAUUGUGACGUUUUCAGAAGUGGCCAUCAGGUUGAUCAAAGCGCUCUCCGUCUCAGUCACAGAGACAAGCUCCAGAGAUUUUACCAUUUCCUGUCUGGGGAAGCCCCUACAGUUACAAGGCUCUUUCUUCACCUUUGUGGGGUUUCCAGAGCCACCAAAGGGAGCAUCUCCAUCUCUGAACACCCUGUGCUGGAACACUCCCACAGAGAUGUUGAAAGCCUAGUUAAGAGACCACAAAAGCCUUCAGGAGCCUCUUACAGGGAUUCUACCUUUGCUGAGGGGCUCUGACUUCACUGAGUAUACAGAGUAGUGGAAGAGCAAAUAAAUCAGCCACCAAGAGCACUUGCUGGUCUGGCAAAGGACCUGAGUUCAGUUCUUAGGAUCUACAGUGGUUCAAAAUUGCCUAUAACUCAACUCCAGAAGGGUACCGGACAUCCUCUUCUGGCCUCUGCAGGCACUGCCCUCGUGUACACACAAGUCCAUACACAGACAUAUACAUUUAUACAUGUAUAGAAUUAAAUAACUCUUUUAAAGGGGAAAACAAAGGAAUCUUGAGCAUAUUAAGACAAGGAGGACAUCUGAGAGAGAAGGACAAAGAAAGGUAACAGGAAGAAGCAGCAGUUGGAAGCCUGUCAGGUUAGGCUCCUCGUACAUCAGUCAUUUCCCACUUGUUGAUCACGUGAUAAAUCUCUAUCCAGCCACACUGGAUGGACUAUGUGGGUGCCUGGCAACAGCAUGCAUCCAGUAGUAAUAAAGGCUGCCACCCAAUAGGGGACAGAUUUACAAACUACAGUGAUAAGGCUGGGGGACCUGGGCAGAACAGUGACCUUAAGCUAAGCCCUCAAGGACAAGAAAUUCUGUGCCGUUCAACCAGGAAUAUAGUUUGAAAACCAUCUGUACCUAGCUGCUUCUGGUUGUGAAGCAGUUCCUGGGUAAAGGGGGGGGGUGAUAAUGAAACACCCCGAAUGAGCUGCCCCACGCUAUAUGGUGAUGCAGGGUGCUGCCUCCAGAGACAUUGCUCAUCUCAGGAGUUCCCAGUUCUCUGACAACAGAGAUGCUGGAGGAAGCUUUCUGUCUCCGUUUAUCAGAUUAUCCUUCAUCAAGCAGUAGGCUUCCUGGUCUAGUCACAUCAUCAAUUUAGUACUUGCAGAAACAGAUGCCAAGACAAGGUUUGAAAUGCAAAAGAUCCCAAGGACCACUUGGGAUGAGAGGAGAGGAGACAAGGUCCCCAGAGCAGGAAGGCUUCCCACCCAGAUCUAGGCAGAGAUGGAGAGAGCAAAGAUUAAAUAUAAGCGCCUCUUCAGAUACAACAAGGAAAAAAGUCCUCAUAGCUCCAUAGCCUGGUGCAAAGACACAUCUGGGCAGGGAUGACCAGACUCCACUGUCAGUGGCCCCCAUAUGAAAAGGAUGCAGCCUCAGCCUGAUUGCUGCAGAGAAACCUGACUCCCAGCUGCACUCUUCACAGCUGGCCAGCUUGCCCAGCAAACAGCGGAGCAUGGUGACUCUGUGGCUGCCGCACAGGGCCCAAUCACAGGGCCCACCUUGUUUAUUUGCCAUCAAAGUGGAAACUGAUGUUGCUUGCAAAAUUUGGAGAAGGAACUGGUUCAGGAAGGUCAUUGUAAUAAGAACUUCAUCUGCGGUCCCUAUGGAGACAGAUUCUAGGGGUGCUUGGCAGCUUGGCAGACAUCAAGGAUGAGGGAGACUAAGGCUCUAUACCAGACUAUAAUUGUUCUGAUGCUUGGGAGAGAGAGGAGCCCCUCCCACCAGAGCUAAAGGCCUGCUCAUGGUACUGCAUCCAAGAGACCACCCCUGUCUGAACAGGAGGCAGGCGUGCAGGAUGUGGGCGUCCUCCCUGGAAUGCAGCCUGCUGAGAGUGUUGGUGUCCUGUGACCCUCUCGACGAACCUCAUAGGACAUGAGACCCAAGGAACCCGCUGUUCUUUGUUUCUGAGCCAGGAAUCUCACUUUCUGCCAAGAGAGUAUCUUUUAGCCUAUUUACAAAUGAUGUAUUAGCCUGUACCCAGGAAACCACUAAAAGUUUCUCUAGCUUGCAAUCAGAGUAAGAAUCUUAGCUCCCAUCAAAUCAGAAUUCUUGGAAGGGUGAACCCUACAUGAAGUCAGGCUUCCAUAAUUACAGGUCGGCAGGUCCAGCUGACUGUAGAUCAAAAAUAGGUACCGAUAGUUACAUCUCUACUGAACAGGCACAGAACUUCCAGAACUAUGCCCUAGGUAUGUCGGGUAGUAACGACUAUUUGCAUAGAAUUUACAGUGUUAUUGGACAUCAUAAGCAAUUAAGAGAUGAUUUUAAGCCUAUGAAAAAGGUAGUAUAACAGGAGUGUCCUUAGAGAGGCUGAGCUCUAAGAAAGGGGGGGUCACCAGGCAGGAUCUCUCCCUACUUUGGGGUUAUUGUCAAGUCCCAUUUCUUGAGCCAUACUGAGAGAGAUGAGGAGGUCUGGAACACAGUGGCCACCUCAACAACCUGACUGUAAAUCACCAAUAUUUGUUUCAAAUGGCAAUAGUGAAAGGCAGUCUUGGGACCUCAUUUCUGGAGUUAUUUAUAGGUUUCAUGUGACAGCUUAAUGGACCAGAUCACAUUUUAAUGCGGCAAAGCUCUUGGUCAUAGGAGAGUCUGUCAAGAGGCCAAUGUUUCCCUGAAGGAAUGGUGUUUCCAUGAAGCAGACAAGCACAGGUGGCCCUUGACAAACACUUUAUCAGAGCUCUGCUUCCUGGACACUGGAGAAGCAAGGCACACAGCCGCACUAGCACACUUCGAUCAGCUGACCCAUGGCUCAGACUCGGCAUCCCUGGUCCAGUCUUUUCUCUUUUAAGCCCCACCAUCUUCCACAUCGCUUUUCUCUGCUGACGCAGAGUGGUGGUCCGAUCUCUCCACCCAAAAACACCAUGCAGAAUACCUGGGUGGAACGGCAAGGCUGAUCUCACACGUGGCUUUUAGAAAGUGGUGAGGUGAGCUGGCAGACGGCACCUCUGGUGAAGUGCUCGUGUGAAUCCAAUCCUCUGAAAUAUCCAGGCUUGGUGGUGCACACUUGCGAUCUCAGGGUUGGCGAGGGCAGAGGCAGAGAGGGACAAAGGGGCAGAGAUGGGCAGAGAGAGGCAAAAAGGGUCAGAGAGACAGGCAGAUCCCUACAGCUCAUUGGCUAUUCAACGUACCUGCUUGCAGAGUUUCAGACCAGAGAGAUCCUAUGUCAAAAAAAC